rnacentral:rRNA from 1 species
UAGGGAAUCUUCGGCAAUGGGGGGAACCCUGACCGAGCAACGCCGCGUGAGUGAAGAAGGUUUUCGGAUCGUAAAGCUCUGUUGUUAAGGAAGAACGAGUGUGAGAAUGGAAAGUUCAUGCUGUGACGGUACUUAACCAGAAAGGGACGGCUAACUACGUGCCAGCAGCCGCGGUAAUACGUAUGGGGCGAGCGUUGUCCGGAAUUAUUGGGCGUAAAGGGUACGUAGGCGGUUUUUUAAGUCAGGUGUCAAAGCGUGGAGCUUAACCUCAUUAAGCACUUGAAACUGAUAGACUUGAGUGAAGGAGAGGAAAGUGGAAUUCCUAGUGUAGCGAUGAAAUGCGUAGAUAUUAGGAGGAAUACCGGUGGCGAAGGCGACUUUCUGGACUUUUACUGACGCUCAGGUACGAAAGCGUGGGGAGCAAACAGG